UUAAUAGAAGCCAAAAAGAGGCACAUUAUUGUUAAUAAUAUCACUGAAUUAAUUAAUUCCUAUUAA
rnacentral:tRNA from 1 species